rnacentral:rRNA from 1 species
CCUGGCUCAGAUUGAACGCUGGCGGCAUGGCUAAAACAUGCAAGUCGAACGCGAACGCUCCUUCGGGAGCUAGUAGAGUGGCGAAAGGGCGAGUAAUGCAUUCCUAACGUACCCUUGGGUCGGGAAUAGGCCGGGGAAACCCGGAUUAAUACCCGAUAACCCCGUCUGGUCGCAUGGCCGGACGGGCAAAGGCUUGCUGCCCUUGGCGCGGGGAAUGUCCUAUCAGGUUGUUGGUGGGGUAACGGCUCACCAAGCCAAAGACGGGUAGCGGGUGUGAGAGCACGGCCCGCCGCAUCGGGACUGAGACACUGCCCGGACUCCUACGGGAGGCUGCAGUAACGAAUAUUUCGCAAUGCGCGAAAGCGUGACGGAGCAAUGCCGCGUGCAGGAUGAAGCCCCUCGGGGUGUAAACUGCUGUCAGGAGUCAGCAACCCAAUGAGCAACUCCAGAGGAAGGACCGGCUAACUUCGUGCCAGCAGCCGCGGUAAUACGAAGGGUCCAAGCGUUAAUCGGAAUCACUGGGCUUAAAGGGUGCGUAGGCGGACUGGCCAGUGCCUUGUGAAAUCCCACGGCUCAACCGUGGAAUUGCUCGGGAUACUGCCAGUCUUGAGGUCGGUAGAGGGUGCCGGAACUCUAGGUGGAGCGGUGAAAUGCGUAGAUAUCUAGAGGAACGUCAAAGGCGAAGGCAGGCACCUGGUCCGAUUCUGACGCUGAGGCACCGAAAGCCGUGGGGAGCGAACG